GGAAGGAGGGGCAGCAGGCCAAACGAGGGAGGGCACCUCAAUGUGCGAGAAGGAGAAGAUGGCAAAAAAGCACUAAGGGCGGGGGGAGGGAACAUGGAAAUUGGUUACUAAGGAGGAACCACCGAGAGGUUUGGGGUUAUUUUGGUGGGUUGGUUGGUUGGUUGUUCUAUGUGUUGCUGUUUGGUGAUUGUAGCAGAAACGCUCAGUCACGGCCUGAAGGAGUGGUGGAGCACCUGGUGGAAGGCAGGGCCAACCCAGGGGAGCUCAGGUGCAUGCAACGUACUGAGUGACCAGAGGGGUGGAGUCAGGAUGCACCCCUUCCCAACCCUCAUUAAGGGCUGGCAGUGGAGGUGAGGGUAUCCUUCUGGAGAUCCCUGCCUACCUGAGGCCUUCCAAAAGAAAGCAGGUUUUUCUCUUUUGUUUCUGCAUCUGUGGCUGCUGCUCCCCGUUCUGCAUUAAUUGAUCUCUGGGCAGCACAGAUUCUUUUUUCCUUCUUAAUGAUUCAUGCAUGGGUCACAUCAUGCUAUGCAGGCUCUCAGUCAAAGAGCAGAAAGGGUGGAGGUUCCCUUACAAUUAAAUGUAUGUCCAGCAACAAGCACAUGCCAAUAGAUUUUCUUGUGAAAGCGAGCAGGGCUUAGCAGGGCACCAUGCAUAUCAUUCUCAGCACUCCAUGGCAAGGAUUGCUGUAAGUGGCAAGAUCAGCAGGGCUGUAAAUAAAUUACACACAGAUGACUUAAAGUUCUGGGCAUUCUGCAUCUGGAGGCACUCUGUGCUGACCUGGGCACAUGGGUUUGGGCUCUGCUGCAGGGGGAAGCUGAGACAUGGUCACACGCUGACAUAAAAACAUCUAUCACAGCCCUACCAGUAAAGUAGCGUGAGCUUUACUGUAAUCAUUAUUUCAUAGGCAUCAGAUUAAAGGGAGCAGUCAAUGAAAUAGUCAUGAACAGAGUGGUGUUUAAUAGAGCAUUGCCAUGUAUCUGUUAAAGCAGGCAGAGGUUGCAGGCAAGGAAGCUUUCCUAGCAAAGCCCUUCAUAAUGCAGUUGCACUGAGAAGCAAGAGGCUUGGAAAAGAAACAUACACGUACCUACAUAUUCAUAUUUUCUAAGAACAACCUAUAAGCCUAAUAUUAACAAAACUAGCAAUCUUCAUUAAUUUUAAGCAGUCCAUGCCCUUUCUGGAGUAUAUUCAGAGGAGGGCCACGAAGAUGAUCCAAGGGCUGGAGCACCUCUCCUAUGAAGACAGGCUGAAGGGAGCUGGGCUUGUUGCAAAAGAGAAGGCUGGGGGGAGACCUCAUUGCAGCCUUCCAAAAUUUAAAGAGAGCUUAUAAGCAUAAGAGAAAUCAACAUUUUAUGUGGGUAGGUAGUGAUUGGAUAAGGGGGAAUAGUUUGAAAUUGAAAGGAGGGGAGAUUUAGAUUAGAUGUGAGGGGAAAGUUUUUUGCUGGGAGAGUGGUGAGGCACUGGAACAGGCUGCCCAGAGAGGCUGUGGUUGCUUUGUCCCUGGAGGUGGUUAAGGCCAGGUGGGUUGGGGCCCUGGGCAAUGUGAUUUAGUGCUUCAUCUAGCAGCUGGCAGCCUGCCUGUGGCAGGGGGCUGGAACCUGAUGAUCGUUGAGGUCCCUUCCAACACAAGCCACCCUAUGGUUGUGAUACUCAGGAGCUGUGGCGUGUGCUACAGUUUCUUAGGCAUUAGAAAUUCUAACCGGCACAUGAUUUUACUAAUUUCUUACUGGUUGUGCCGUUCUCAAAAGCUGUUUUUCAUCUGCUGAGAGUGCUUCCAUGCCUCUGUCCCGUGGAAGGGUCGGCCUCCUCGUGCAGAGGGAGCAGCUGCCCCUGGUUCAGAAUGGGCGCCCAACCAACAGCAAGAGGAGUCGUGUCACUGUGCUCCCGGAGCUGGGAGCGGGUGAGUGAUUGCAGCACUCUGCAAAUGUUUAACAAGCUCUAUGGCAUUUACAUAAUUAUUUUGCUCUCCUCGCUAAUAAUAUCAUUCUAUCAGGCUGUAGUUAUGGAAUCCAGAUGUUUGUGUUAUAAAUGAGUAGUAAUGAUAAAUAACAAACAUUUAAUUUGCGCUGCUUUAAUACAUUCUAGUUCUUACUGGAUCCGGGAUGAAAGCUCCUUCCCUGUUUUCACUCAAACCAACUGUUACACUCAGUUGUGCCAUGAAUAGAAACGAAAUUCCAUGUGGCCUAACCUGUUUAGCUUGGGCUGGACAGCUGAUGCUGAAAUGAAUACGUGGUAAUCAGUCAUCAAUUUUCUGGCACAGGCGGUGACAACAUGUAUAAAUCACACGGCCCUUGUGAGAGUGAGUGACUUCCCCACGGAGCCCUUUCCUCAGGAUUGCGUUAUUAUUGCCAGACAUUGUUUUCAGAACAAGAGCUCACAGCCAAAUUAGUGAGUGCUGAGACGUUCUGCAUGCUGUAGCAGCCCCCACCAGUACGUGGUACUGCUGAUCUCCUCUUUGUUUGUUUCCUGAAUCUCAAAUAUUUCGAUGCUACAUAGGAAUUCAGAAGCUGUUGCCAAUUAGCCACAUCAUCCUGUAGGCUGUUAAAUUCCACCCGGCCAAUGCAAAACCAAACCUCUGUGCCGCUGGCAGUAUUAAAACAUGUCUGCUGCUUGGUGCUAAGCUCUGGAGCCAUCAGGAGGGUUCUGCUGCAGGGCCAGUGGCUUGGGGCCAUUCCCAUGCAGGUGGGGAGAUGUAUGGGCUGUCAACUCUGCUCCCAAGCUCUGUUCAAGUGGGGAAUACUGCAAAUCCAAGAGAAUGCGAUCAUCUGCUUGGAUGGUUCCCUGCUGAAGCGACUAAAACCACUGACAUUGGGUUAUUUUGGGAGCAGGGGUAGAGGUGGUAGGUUUGAGGAGCGAUCCCUCGAUGGCAGCCUAUCUAAUAUUGGUGUGAGAUCCUUUAACCUAACCCUUUUGCAUAGGUUUUCCUGCACUUUGUUCUGAGCGCUGCUGUGGGACAUAUGAAUGUUCUCCUCACUUGGAAGAUGGUUGAAAGGAAGAGUGGAAUUUAGGAGGCAGUGGGUGAGCAGCUUCUGGCUCCAAGCAUCCAUUCUGGCAACUGCCCUCAGGAAGCGGCAGGCAACACAAGCAAGGGUUAUUUCUGUAUCUGUGGGGAAGUUAUAUACAGAUUUUCUGAAACGGUGGUCUUCAUUUUGUACUUCAUCAAUUCUCCACUGCUGUAAAAGCAGUGUGUUUCAGUUCAUCCUUCAUUCUAGGUGCAUACAAGGACUAUGCAAGGAGCUUUUGUUUGGACUUCAUCAUUUCCUUUUAUUUCUAAGCAAUGCUUGUAGUUCUUUAAGAAUGCAAGCUUUGAAUUUUUAUAUGUACAUAUAAAGACAUUCACAUUGUGCAUCUGCUGCGACAGUCAGUAUACAGAGAGGAACGACCACAGUGAUAACAGAAGCUCCCUGUUGCACACCCAGCUGCAGGCUGCACCGUCCCACCACAAAGAGCACCUCCCUUUGUCAGCAGUCACUUGCUGGGCUUUUUCCCCUCUUGGCUCAUCCUUGCUUCUGGGUGGGUGUGUUUGUCCCUCUCUGUCUGUAGUAUUUAGCAGUUCUGCCUAUGGCGUGUCUGAUGCUUUCUGCAUUUCCACAUAUUCACGUUUCUGUGACUGGAACGCAGCUGCAGUUUUCAAAAAGCUGAGGGAGAAGACUGGAGAGGCCAAGCAGAAGAGGAUGAAAUGGGCCAGUUGGUGUUCUGCAGACUGUGCCAUCACUGGGAUCCCAGGCCUCCCUUCUCUGUGUGCUGGCAGAGGGCACCGUCACUAGAACCCAGAGCCACGUGCUGCCAUUUCCUGACCUUGAUGUCAAACAGCAUGGCGAACUCGCUGCGUGAAAACCACUGCAAAAGGCACUGGGAGAACUCAGCCUUGAGCAGCUUCCUGAAGAUGGAUCUGCUGCACGUUAGCUUUGAUAACUGCAGCAAGUUCAUUAACCUUUCUUUCCCCCAUGCCCUUGUAGGGAAGUGCACACAUUCCUCAUGCUCUGAACCAUACCCAGAAACUGGCUCCCUCCUUCCGGACAGCAAGGCCAGGCUCUUGGAUAACAGUGGAAAUGGGCGCCUCUUCUGGACCUGGACUCAGAAAGCACUGGCAGCCAAUGCCUGUUGGUGCAGCACUCCUCUCCUCACAGGUCCGAGAUCUGCAAGUGAGGUCAUUACUGGGCCUGGUCGGAUUGCACAGCUCCUCCACCGACACUACUCACACCCCAUCGCUCCGACCCAACACAAGUUCAGCACCCGGCGAUCUUCUGAUGUUUUUUUCCCAGAGGAAAACUUCAGCCACUGGUACAUAAGAAGAGUCUGAAGAGCAGACAGCAAAGAUCAGCAGUCCCAUGGUGUUAGUUCUCCAUAGGCUGUGGAAGAGAAGGCAGGUGUUCCAAAAUAGUGCACCCAGGGUCCCUUGUCUGAUGUCUGAAAGGAAACAGAGUGGAAGCUCCCAAGAGUUGGUGAUGUCCUGAAACCAGAAGUGACCCCUGAGAGAGUUUUAUAGAACAUAAAGAGCUUGUCAGACAAGUGUGGCUUUGAGAAAUCACAGGUUUGGGUUUAAUAGCUGCAUGGAAUGCACAUGUAAAGCCUUCACAAAAUUUACCUGAUUGCUCCAAAAAUAAGAUCAAAAGAAUU